UGACAGCCCACUUGACAGGUGGUCAGGAAGAAGUCAAAUCUUCUAGAGGAGAAUCAACCACUGACCUACCAGAAUCCACCAUGGACCUGGAGUCACCCACAGAUGUGUACCUGGAGAACACCCAGGCUUUCCAAAAUGAAGCAAAUUCUCCAUUAGCUGUGAUGAUCACUGCUAUCCACUACUUUCUAAGAAGAUUCUAUGCUUUUGAGCAUGCCUACCACUACACUAUAGGAGAUCUAUUGUAGAAGACUAGAAAAACAUAGGAUGUGCCCAGCUGAGGCAUUGAUCCUGGCUGGGUAGGGGGAAUUGUUCAGGGAUGGGGAAGGGGCACUUCUUAGCUGUGUCUCAUCGAGUACGGGCUCAAUAAAUAAUUGAAUUUUGAGAGUG
rnacentral:lncRNA from 10 species